rnacentral:rRNA from 1 species
CACCAAAAUGCACAGGCUGUGAACUCGAAGAGUAGGGCGGGACACGUGGUAUCCUGUCUGAAUAUGGGGGGACCAUCCUCCAAGGCUAAAUACUCCUGACUGACCGAUAGUGAACCAGUACCGUGAGGGAAAGGCGAAAAGAACCCCGGCGAGGGGAGUGAAAAAGAACCUGAAACCGUGUACGUACAAGCAGUGGGAGCACCUUCGGGUGUGACUGCGUACCUUUUGUAUAAUGGGUCAGCGACUUAUAUUCUGUAGCAAGGUUAACCGUAUAGGGGAGCCGCAGGGAAACCGAGUCUUAACUGGGCGUUAAGUUGCAGGGUAUAGACCCGAAACCCGGUGAUCUAGCCAUGGGCAGGUUGAAGGUUGGGUAACACUAACUGGAGGACCGAACCGACUAAUGUUGAAAAAUUAGCGGAUGAC